rnacentral:rRNA from 1 species
UCCAGACUCCUACGGGAGGCAGCAGUGAGGAAUAUUGGUCAAUGGCCGGAAGGCUGAACCAGCCAAGUCGCGUGAGGGAAUAAGGCCCUAUGGGUCGUAAACCUCUUUUGUCAGGGAGCAAAGGCGUCCACGUGUGGACGAGAGGAGAGUACCUGAAGAAAAAGCAUCGGCUAACUCCGUGCCAGCAGCCGCGGUAAUACGGAGGAUGCGAGCGUUAUCCGGAUUUAUUGGGUUUAAAGGGUGCGCAGGCGGAUUUUUAAGUCAGGGGUAAAAUCGUGGGGCUCAACCCCAUCCAGCCGUUGAAACUGGGGAUCUAGAGGGUGCGAGAGGUAUGCGGAAUGCGUGGUGUAGCGGGGAAAUGCA